CUUUACUUCUAUUUUUUUAAAGAGUUCAUAAAAGAUUGGAAAUUGACAUUUGAGUCAGUGGACUGGGAGAGGAAGACCCAACCUCAGUCUGAUUGGGCACCAUCCAAUAGGCUGCCAGUAUAUCUAGAACAAGGCAGACAAAUAAGGUGUAUAUAUUCCCUUCAUCUGAACAUUGGCUGAAGUUGGUAACUGCCUCAUCUAAUACAAGGCAGCAGAAGCAAUGCUAUGGGACAUCCAAGACUGGAUUAUAAAAGACAGUACAUGUUUUUUCUCUCUCUCUCUUUCUCUUUUUCUCUCAUCCUUACUUCUAUGGCUUCAAACUUUUUUAUCGUGUUACUGACAUAUUCUAUUUUCUUAAAAAUUUUUGUUCUACAUUUCAAAGACGUAUUAAAAAUAUCUCAUUUUGGGGGGAGGGGAGAGGGAUAGCAUUUGGAGAUAUACCUAAUGUUAAAUGACGAGUUACUGGGUGCAGCACGCCAACACGGCACAUGUAUACAUAUGUGACUAACCUGCACGUUGUGCACAUCUACCCUAAAAUUUAAAGUAUAAUAAAAAAAUCUCAUUUUUAAGUUGGUCAAUGUAUAUGUUUUUACAGAAG
rnacentral:lncRNA from 1 species